rnacentral:rRNA from 1 species
CAGUCGCCGCGGUAAAACGUAGGUGGCAAGCGUUGUCCGGAAUUAUUGGGCGUAAAGGGCUCGCAGGCGGUUUCUUAAGUCUGAUGUGAAAGCCCCCGGCCCAACCGGGGAGGGUCAUUGGAAACUGGGAAACUUGAGUGCAGAAGAGGAGAGUGGAAUUCCACGUGUAGCGGUGAAAUGCGUAGAGAUGUGGAGGAACACCAGUGGCGAAGGCGACUCUCUGGUCUGUAACUGACGCUGAGGAGCGAAAGCGUGGGGAGCGAACAGGAUUAGAUACCCGUGUAGUCCCUGUCUCUUAUAC